CAGGGAGACAAUAAGCUAUAGGAAUCCGUCUUUAAAAAUAGGACAGGUGAAAGUGGACCAAUCAAAGUGAAAUACUGCCCCCCAGUGGCUAAUUUGGAUCAAGCCAGAGAGCCGUAGCCUGUGGUGGCUGCUGGCAAAUCUGAGCACAUACAUAAAUAUGGCGGAGAGAACCUGUGUGUCCAGACCUUUUCUUGAACGGCUUGGGUCAUUCGGGUCAUUAAUACUCUCGUGUCUCUACUGAAAGGAAGAGGAAUAUGCCUCACGGCUACAGUAAAUUACCUACCAAAGCUCAGACCCAGAGGCAAGAAAGCUGAGUAAAACCAAAGACAUAACCAGGAGGAUGGAAACUUAGAGCGCCCCACACCAGGUGUACUCCUUCAGUCAAUAAACACAACUGACUUCAGCGUCGAGUUAGCAAGAAGAAUUAGCCGAAAUUAGAAACUACUGGAUGUCAUGCCCCCCUCCCCCACUCUUCCAAGCCCAGAUCCUAGAUGGACCAAGGAAAGCCAGAAAAAUCUCAUCUGUAAAAUGGAGGGGAUUGCCUUAGAGGACCCCUGGAAAUCCCUUCCAUCUCUAAAUACAUUUCUCCAGAAUACACUCAUCGGUUCAGAUGUGGAUCCAUGUGAAAGCAGAAGAAUAUUCAAGAGUGGGAAGAACUAGAUCCAUGAUGUUCUCUGGGCUUCUCUUUAUUCCUUGCUACAGCUGUAAAGCAAUUUAGCUGACAGCUUGUUCCUGACCCCUACACCCACCUUCCUACCUGGCCAGGCCCAGGUCGAUGGUGACUAAGAUGCUUUCUGCAGCUGGCUGAGUCAUCCUCCCCAAGUCAUUUGCUUCCAGAGGAAUUUGUCAAUAUUUUCUUUUUGUUACCAUUUAUUUCAAUGCAGAUAAUUUUAUAUGUGACAUAACAAUAAUGUAAUACAUAUGAUUUGUCACAUGUAAUACAUUAUAAUAAAUAUGCUUGUCCAAGAAAAACA
rnacentral:lncRNA from 1 species